rnacentral:rRNA from 1 species
AGUAAAUAGAUACCCCGGUAGUCCACGCCCUAAACGAUGUCAACUAGUUGUUGGGGGAGUAAAAUCCCUUAGUAACGCAGCUAAACGCGUGAAAGUUGACCGCCUGGGGAGUACGGUCGCAAGAUUAAAACUCAAAGGAAUUGACGGGGCCCGCACAAGCGGUGGAUUAUGUGGAUUAAUUCGAUGCAACGCGAAAAACCUUACCUGGCCUUGACAUGCCACUAACGAAGCAGAGAUGCAUUAGGUGCCCGAAAGGGAAAGUGGACACAGGUGCUGCAUGGCUGUCGUCAGCUCGUGUCGUGAGAUGUUGGGUUAAGUCCCGCAACGAGCGCAACCCUUGCCAAUAAUUGCCAUCAUUCAGUUGGGCACUUUAUUGGGACUGCCGGUGACGAACCGGAGGAAGGUGGGGAUGACGUCAAGUCCUCAUGGCCCUUAU